rnacentral:rRNA from 1 species
AUGAACGCUAGCGGCAGGCCUAACACAUGCAAGUCGAGGGGCAUCACGAGGUAGCAAUACUUUGGUGGCGACCGGCGCACGGGUGCGUAACGCGUAUGUAACCUACCUAUAACAGGGGCAUAACACUGAGAAAUUGGUACUAAUUCCCCAUAAUAUUCGGAGAGGCAUCUCUCCGGGUUGAAAACUCCGGUGGUUAUAGAUGGACAUGCGUUGUAUUAGCUAGUUGGUGAGGUAACGGCUCACCAAGGCAACGAUACAUAGGGGGACUGAGAGGUUAACCCCCCACACUGGUACUGAGACACGGACCAGACUCCUACGGGAGGCAGCAGUGAGGAAUAUUGGUCAAUGGACGCAAGUCUGAACCAGCCAUGCCGCGUGCAGGAAGACGGCUCUAUGAGUUGUAAACUGCUUUUGUACGAGGGUAAACUCACCUACGUGUAGGUGACUGAAAGUAUCGUACGAAUAAGGAUCGGCUAACUCCGUGCCAGCAGCCGCGGUAAUACGGAGGAUUCAAGCGUUAUCCGGAUUUAUUGGGUUUAAAGGGUGCGUAGGCGGUUUGAUAAGUUAGAGGUGAAAUCCCGGGGCUUAACUCCGGAACUGCCUCUAAUACUGUUAGACUAGAGAGUAGUUGCGGUAGGCGGAAUGUAUGGUGUAGCGGUGAAAUGCUUAGAGAUCAUACAGAACACCGAUUGCGAAGGCAGCUUACCAAACUAUAUCUGACGUUGAGGCACGAAAGCGUGGGGAGCAAACAGGAUUAGAUACCCUGGUAGUCCACGCAGUAAACGAUGAUAACUCGUUGUCGGCGAUACACAGUCGGUGACUAAGCGAAAGCGAUAAGUUAUCCACCUGGGGAGUACGUUCGCAAGAAUGAAACUCAAAGGAAUUGACGGGGGCCCGCACAAGCGGUGGAGCAUGUGGUUUAAUUCGAAGCAACGCGAAGAACCUUACCAGGGCUUGACAUAUACAGGAAUACUUAAGAAAUUAGGUAGUCUUUCGAGACUUGUAUACAGGUGGUGCAUGGUUGUCGUCAGCUCGUGUCGUGAGAUGUUGGGUUAAGUCCCGCAACGAGCGCAACCCUUAUUGCCAGUUACUACGUUAAGAGGACUCUGGCGAGACUGCCGUUGACAAAACGGAGGAAGGUGGGGAUGACGUCAAAUCAGCACGGCCCUUACGUCCGGGGCUACACACGUGUUACAAUGGUAGGUACAGAGGGUCGCUACUCCGUGAGGAGAUGCCAAUCUCGAAAGCCUAUCUCAGUUCGGAUUGGAGGCUGAAACCCGCCUCCAUGAAGUUGGAUUCGCUAGUAAUCGCGCAUCAGCCAUGGCGCGGUGAAUACGUUCCCGGGCCUUGUACACACCGCCCGUCAAGCCAUGGAAGCUGGGGGUGCCUGAAGUUCGUGACCGCAAGGAGCGACCUAGGGCAAAACCGGUAACUGGGGCU